AACAGGAUUAGAUACCCUGGUAGUCCACGCCGUAAACGAUGUCGACUUGGAGGUUGUUCCCUUGAGGAGUGGCUUCCGGAGCUAACGCGUUAAGUCGACCGCCUGGGGAGUACGGCCGCAAGGUUAAAACUCAAAUGAAUUGACGGGGGCCCGCACAAGCGGUGGAGCAUGUGGUUUAAUUCGAUGCAACGCGAAGAACCUUACCUACUCUUGACAUCCAGAGAACUUUCCAGAGAUGGAUUGGUGCCUUCGGGAACUCUGAGACAGGUGCUGCAUGGCUGUCGUCAGCUCGUGUUGUGAAAUGUUGGGUUAAGUCCCGCAACGAGCGCAACCCUUAUCCUUUGUUGCCAGCGGUUCGGCCGGGAACUCAAAGGAGACUGCCAGUGAUAAACUGGAGGAAGGUGGGGAUGGCGUCAAGUCAUCAUGGCCCUUACGAGUAGGGCUACACACGUGCUACAAUGGCGCAUACAAAGAGAAGCGACCUCGCGAGAGCAAGCGGACCUCAUAAAGUGCGUCGUAGUCCGGAUUGGAGUCUGCAACUCGACUCCAUGAAGUCGGAAUCGCUAGUAAUCGUAGAUCAGAAUGCUACGGUGAAUACGUUCCCGGGCCUUGUACACACCGCCCGUCACACCAUGGGAGUGGGUUGCAAAAGAAGUAGGUAGCUUAACCUUCGGGAGGGCGCUUACCACUUUGUGAUUCAUGACUGGGGUGAAGUCGUAACAAGGUAACC
rnacentral:rRNA from 1 species